AACAGGAUUAGAUACCCUGGUAGUCCACGCCCUAAACGAUGUCAACUGGUUGUUGGGAAGGUUCCUUCUCAGUAACGUAGCUAACGCGUGAAGUUGACCGCCUGGGGAGUACGGCCGCAAGGUUGAAACUCAAAGGAAUUGACGGGGACCCGCACAAGCGGUGGAUGAUGUGGUUUAAUUCGACGCAACGCGAAAAACCUUACCUACCCUUGACAUGUCUGGAAUCCUGAAGAGAUUUGGGAGUGCUCGAAAGAGAACCAGAACACAGGUGCUGCAUGGCCGUCGUCAGCUCGUGUCGUGAGAUGUUGGGUUAAGUCCCGCAACGAGCGCAACCCUUGUCAUUAGUUGCUACGAAAGGGCACUCUAAUGAGACUGCCGGUGACAAACCGGAGGAAGGUGGGGAUGACGUCAGGUCAUCAUGGCCCUUAUGGGUAGGGCUACACACGUCAUACAAUGGCCGGUACAGAGGGCUGCCAACCCGCGAGGGGGAGCUAAUCCCAGAAAACCGGUCGUAGUCCGGAUCGCAGUCUGCAACUCGACUGCGUGAAGUCGGAAUCGCUAGUAAUCGCGGAUCAGCUUGCCGCGGUGAAUACGUUCCCGGGUCUUGUACACACCGCCCGUCACACCAUGGGAGCGGGUUCUGCCAGAAGUAGUUAGCCUAACCGCAAGGGGGGCGAUUACCACGGCAGGGUUCGUGACUGGGGUGAAGUCGUAACAAGGUAACC
rnacentral:rRNA from 1 species